UAGCCUAGUGGUUAAGGCUAUGGAUUGCCAAUCCGGAGACAGCGGGUUGGAUUCCCGU
rnacentral:tRNA from 1 species